rnacentral:rRNA from 1 species
UAGGGAAUCUUCCACAAUGGGCGCAAGCCUGAUGGAGCAACACCGCGUGAGUGAAGAAGGGUUUCGGCUUGUAAAGCUCUGUUGUUAAAGAAGAACACGUAUGAGAGUAACUGUUCAUACGUUGACGGUAUUUAACCAGAAAGUCACGGCUAACUACGUGCCAC